UCGUCACACUAUCAUUAACUGAAUCCAUAGGUUAAUGAGGCGAACCGGGGGAACUGAAACAUCUAAGUACCCCGAGGAAAAGAAAUCAACCGAGAUUCCCCCAGUAGCGGCGAGCGAACGGGGAGGAGCCCAGAGCCUGAAUCAGCAUGUGUGUUAGUGGAAGCGUCUGGAAAGGCGCGCGAUACAGGGUGACAGCCCCGUACACAAAAGCGCAUGUGCUGUGAGCUCGAUGAGUAGGGCGGGACACGUGGUAUCCUGUCUGAAUAUGGGGGGACCAUCCUCCAAGGCUAAAUACUCCUGACUGACCGAUAGUGAACCAGUACCGUGAGGGAAAGGCGAAAAGAACCCCGGCGAGGGGAGUGAAAAAGAACCUGAAACCGUGUACGUACAAGCAGUGGGAGCACAGGUUUACCUGUGUGACUGCGUACCUUUUGUAUAAUGGGUCAGCGACUUAUAUUCUGUAGCAAGGUUAACCGAAUAGGGGAGCCGGAGGGAAACCGAGUCUUAAUUGGGCGUUAAGUUGCAGGGUAUAGACCCGAAACCCGGUGAUCUAGCCAUGGGCAGGUUGAAGGUUGGGUAACACUAACUGGAGGACCGAACCGACUAAUGUUGAAAAAUUAGCGGAUGACCUGUGGCUGGGGGUGAAAGGCCAAUCAAACCGGGAGAUAGCUGGUUCUCCCCGAAAGCUAUUUAGGUAGCGCCUCGUGAAUUCAUCUCCGGGGGUAGAGCACUGUUUCGGCUAGGGGGCCAUCCCGGCUUACCAACCCGAUGCAAACUGCGAAUACCGGAGAAUGUUAUCACGGGAGACACACGGCGGGUGCUAACGUCCGUCGUGAAGAGGGAAACAACCCAGACCGCCAGCUAAGGUCCCAAAGUCAUGGUUAAGUGGGAAACGAUGUGGGAAGGCCCAGACAGCCAGGAUGUUGGCUUAGAAGCAGCCAUCAUUUAAAGAAAGCGUAAUAGCUCACUGGUCGAGUCGGCCUGCGCGGAAGAUGUAACGGGGCUAAACCAUGCACCGAAGCUGCGGCAGCGACACUGUGUGUUGUUGGGUA
rnacentral:rRNA from 1 species